rnacentral:lncRNA from 1 species
AACAGAUUCGCAACUCGCGAUUGAUGCCCGACCGGAGACGACGAAUCGACACCUCGUCCAGAUCGGAACAGUAGACCGGGACUUGCACGAACCAAAAUCUUCACCGGAGAAACACGAAUCUCGCCGGAAAUGGAAGCCGAAAACAAUUAAAAGAGGUGUUGGUUGAAUUUGGCUAUGGAUUUCAGACUGUUCUUAGCAAGGACGUAAAUAUAUUUGUUGAAAUUUGAUUACAAAUCAAUCUUUAAAAAAUAAUAACCCAUUACUUAACAAUGGAUAUUGCUUUCUCCUAACACCCAUG